rnacentral:rRNA from 1 species
AGAGUUUGAUCCUGGCUCAGGAUGAACGCUAGCGGCAGGCUUAAUACAUGCAAGUCGAGGGGCAGCAGGACUGUAGCAAUACAGUUGCUGGCGACCGGCAAACGGGUGCGGAACACGUACGCAACCUACCCAUAACUGGGGAAUAGCCCGGGGAAACCCGGAUUAAUACCCCGUAACAUAAUGAGAUGGCAUCGUCUUAUUAUUAUAGAUACGUCGGUUAUGGAUGGGCGUGCGCCCUGAUUAGGUAGUUGGCGGAGUAAUAGCCCACCAAGCCUACGAUCAGUAACUGGUGUGACAGCACGACCAGUCACACGGGCACUGAGACACGGGCCCGACUCCUACGGGAGGCAGCAGUAAGGAAUAUUGGUCAAUGGACGCAAGUCUGAACCAGCCAUGCCG